AAGUCGUAACAAGGUCUCCGUAGGUGAACCUGCGGAGGGAUCAUUAACACGUGUAAAAACGUAUACAAUACCCCUACCUAACAACCAAUACCGUGAACUAUGUUAUAUAUUUUAUUUUUGUUUUUUUAAACCCUUUUCCAACUUUAUUUUUUUUAAAAAACCUUUUUUAUCCUUUUUUUGUUGUUGUUAUAUUGUUGUUGUUUUUACGAUGACAAUAUAAUGAUUCCAAAAAAGAAUAGAAAAUAAAACAUAAAAAAAUACAAAAGCACAACUCUUAGCAACGGAUAUCUUGGUUCUC
rnacentral:misc_RNA from 1 species